rnacentral:rRNA from 1 species
GACGAACGCUGGCGGCGUGCCUAAUACAUGCAAGUUGAGCGAUGAAGAUUGGUGCUUGCACCAAUUUGAAGAGCAGCGAACGGGUGAGUAACGCGUGGGUAAUCUGCCUUUGAGCGGGGGACAACAUUUGGAAACGAAUGCUAAUACCGCAUAACAACUUUAAACAUAAGUUUUAAGUUUGAAAGAUGCAAUUGCAUCACUCAAAGAUGAUCCCGCGUUGUAUUAGCUAGUUGGUGAGGUAAAGGCUCACCAAGGCGAUGAUACAUAGCCGACCUGAGAGGGUGAUCGGCCACAUUGGGACUGAGACACGGCCCAAACUCCUACGGGAGGCAGCAGUAGGGAAUCUUCGGCAAUGGACGAAAGUCUGACCGAGCAACGCCGCGUGAGUGAAGAAGGUUUUCGGAUCGUAAAACUCUGUUGGUAGAGAAGAAAGUUGGUGAGAGUGGAAAGCUCAUCAAGUGACGGUAACUACCCAGAAAGGGACGGCUAACUACGUG